CUGACGUUAGCGGCGGACGGGUGAGUAACACGUGGGUAACCUACCUAUAAGACUGGGAUAACUCCGGGAAACCGGGGCUAAUACCGGAUAACACAUGAAACCGCAUGGUUUCAUGAUGAAAGACGGUUUUGCUGUCACUUAUAGAUGGACCCGCGGCGUAUUAGCUAGUUGGUAAGGUAACGGCUUACCAAGGCAACGAUACGUAGCCGACCUGAGAGGGUUAUCGGCCACACUGGAACUGAGACACGGUCCAGACUCCUACGGGAGGCAGCAGCC
rnacentral:rRNA from 1 species